AAGUCUAACCUCUGCAAAUCGAAGUUUUCUUUUAUAAGUCAAAGUUUAAGCACCACUGCCUAUGCAAUUUGAAACGAUAGAUAUAUAUUUAUUUUACAAUGAAAAAUCGUAUUCUAAAUAGAAGUCUACCGUAAAUUAAUCAUUAAAUUUUAACAGUUAAAGUCUUUCGUAGAAUCUCUACAACUCGAAAAGUAUUAACUGUACGAAUUCCCUUUAAACCAAUUUGUUGAACCUCCCUUAUUCAAAAAACUCGAUAAGAUGAAACCUCGAAAAAUCAAAGAAUUUUGCUAUUCCUGGAAAUUCAAGUUACCGAGAUUCGAUUAUAGUUUUAAUUUUCCCAAGCAUCUCAACAUCGUGGAGGGCAUCCUCGGCCAUGUUUAGCUUGGAGGCGCGUCUAAGGUAUGCGUACCUCGAGCCUGGUAUAAUAAAGAAAAUCCACGAUGCAAUAGCCGGAGCACAAAAGGACGAGAGAAUAAAUCAAAACGGCGUCGGUAAUGCGCGGCUCGUCGACGCAAGAAAGGCUUUAAGGUAUCAGAGUUUUAUGCGGCAUGAGAAAUCGCUGAUUUUCCCACGCGCGCAGUGGUACGCGCGCGCACAAGCGCUACCGGGACCGCAACGGAGGCGCAAUCGCGUUUGCAAAUGCGCCUUGAGGCCGUGUGCUCGCUCGUGCACUCGGGUGCCCGACGUUCGCGCUCGUUCCUUCUAUCGGAAAUAUAAUUGGCGCUUUGCAAAUCCAUUAACCGACCCCAUGUGGCAGGUGGCGUUGCCGUAUUACCGCCGCUGGGCCUGCUCGCUAGUAAUUCAUAGUUUCAUGCUUUCCACUGCUUAAAGACUUAAUGGAAGUUGCGCACGCAUACGUUCCAAGUUGUGCGCGCAUCGCCAUCGUUAUCUGUUACGCGUCUGUAGAAAAACAACCGUGCUCCCGUCCGUGAAAGAUAUAGAAAGUGUUAUAACGUUUGCAUGCUGACCAGGCCUUGCAACUCGUCGAGAUAAUCUAUUCCCGGCCGUGCACGAGGCUUGUUUUCAGGGACACGUGCCUGCUAAACGCCGCUAUAACCUCUCUAGGAGUUUCAGUCGAAUGGAAGAAGGAACAAGCGAUGAUUUAUGAAGUUUGCUCGACGCUUUGGAAACAGGGUGGAAAAAGGUGCUAUAUAAAUAGACGACUUCGAGGGAUUCAAAUAUUAUUUACCUGUUAGAACAACGUUGGAAAUGGGAGAUAAUUAUAAGCACACGGUGAUGUGCGUAAUUUGAGUACCAUGAAGAUACUUAUGUCAAAAGCUGGCGCGGAGCCCGCGCAAGACGGCAAAUAGCAAGGCACAAAGAUCCGUUCGUCCGCAAUGCGAUAUAAGACCAUGGGUUGGGUUAGAUAGAGGAUGCAUUUGAAGCUACCAUUAAGCCCGUGAUUGAUAAUGCCCGCAGACCCGUUCUGCGCCAUCGCGUCCGUUCGAUCAAGGUCUCCCUGAGUAUACCGAUCGCGUAAAAAACGAAAAGCGCGUGGCGGCUGUGGCGCGCAACAACGCAAAAUCACUGCAAAAAGCGAAAGAAGUGACAUCGAGUGCACUGUCACCGACAUUCCUCUUACAGCUCUAUAUCUACCUUCUCUCCGGCAAGAAACGAUGAUUAACAACGAAAUUUCACGAUACAUGCAUAAUUUUAAGUUGGAAAAAAUUAGCAACUGAACGUAAUUGAAUAUUCAUAUUGAAAUUCAUGGAACGUUGGUAUUAAAUUGAAAAAUAUUCGUGACUGGGAAUUUCGUUAUUCUUACAAUUAAGUAUGAAAGAAGCGUAAAAUAGUUUACUUUGCUAAGUACGUACUUAGAGAUAAAGAAUAGAAUGUACGGCGUGUCAACGCAUAAAAGAGAUAAAAAUAGCAUCGUUGAAGCAGAGUAUUCUUUUCAUCGAUGACGACGAUGACGAUGCAGCUGUUAACUAGCAAAAUGCCAUUAUUUACCCAACCUUGACGAUGAAAAGAGGGUAGGCAACUAUAGCUCGGACUAAAAUCUAGAAAACACGAGCGACAAAAAAUGACUUGUGGUGAAACGACAGUGACGGAGCAUGUGCUCUAUGAGAAUCAUCUUUCGUCGGCGAACAUCAGAGCGUCCAACCUUGCUUGGGAAAAACGCUAAACGAGGUAUUUGCACGAUGAGUCGACGAAUCUUAUACACGAUGCACCCUUUGUUUUGCUUCGAAAAAUCUAUGAACGUGACGAGCCGUGUCAGGUAUUUAUCCUAUUUUGCGAAAUGGAUGUGCAUUUCAUUAAUUUUUUAACCUACUCUAUUAUACUGAUAUUACAGAGGAAAAAAUCGGCUGAAGUGUUCGCAUACUUACGAACGGUAGCGUAUGUCUGUCUUACUAACAUUACCAGCCUUAGUAACAUUAUAAAUAUUCCCUAUUUUGUGAUAGAAAGGCGAUUCCUUAAAAUUUAAUAUUUCACGCACAAUUAUCCACAUCAAGAAGAUUAUAACGCUAAAGGGAUAGAGACUGGUUGAAGAAGUUGGUUGCAUGGAUUUCUCCGUAACGGGGAAACGUAGCUUCCCCGAGAAUAAGCCAUCAGAAAUUGCGCGAAAAGCAUUAUGACCGGUGCCAAGUUUCGUGUGGCACGCGAGAGAUUACUUUCUGGAGCUCUCCGGCAUACCUUCCAGUUGGAAGGUUUCCUCUAGCUCUAGGAAACGUCCGGAUAUGAUAAUAAGCGAUGCUCGCGCCAACAUUCUACGUUGAGCACGAUUCGAACCCUCGGGGCUACGUACUGGGUUCGCAUCAACAGCUCUCGGAGAACCAAUCCUCUUCCCUGAAGUCGCUGUCACGACCACCUGGAACGUCUCUGUUCCGUGGAUGGUCUUUUAAAUCCCUAGCAUCUUUCCAACAGUCACGCCUCCUCAGUUUGUUUCGCGUGCUUUCCAACAACAUUCACAGUGUUCCCAUGUUCUCCACGAAACAGCUAUUUCUCGCAAAGAAACUUCGACUCUGGUGGAAUAUCAAUGACAAAUUCAUACGAAGAUGGUAAAAUUGACUUUUAAUGAUGACCAGUGAUUGCCACAUCUGGAGAUUUCCUUUUGUAAAAGUCAUAAUUGUUAUAACGUCCUCCUUAGUUGAACCACUCAUCUAGUAUAUUCUCAUCUUUUAAGAAAUGCUAAAAUAUCGAAGUUUCCCGUGUUUCAUAUUUUAGUUAUAUAUAUAGCGUAUAACUGUUUGCUAGAAAUUUGAAAUUUCCUUAGAUCUGUGAUAAAUGCGGUAAGAUUGCUCCAAAGUAAAAUACACUCAUCUUCUCCGGUUAAUAGGUUAAAUAGAAGUCGUUAGCAUUAUUCUGAACUACGUUGGAAUAGAACUAGAGAACACCAGUUUCUCCUAAAAAGACAUACAUUUCUUCGCAUCGAACGAUAUCUCUAAGUGUAAAUAGUAGACUUACAAUACGCUUGUAACGAUACAGGUGAUACACGCGAGAGACCAAGAGAUCCGCUUGUCCACGUAAUUAAGUAAAAACUACGACGCGAAGGUAGGUCGCAAACGCGUCUUCACGUAGUAAACUCUUCAAUUGCGCAAAUAUCUCGGAGCCUCGAUGGAAGAAAUUAGCAUAAUGCCGGGAAGCAUUAGGCUCGUGAGCGCAAAUUGUGCGGCGGGCAUCGGCUCAAAGAAAUACACAAGGGAAUAAGGAGGAAGAGACAGGCUUAUGUAGAGGGUGGAACAAGGAGCAAGGAGAAGAAACUAAAGAAAAACAAGGAAAAAAAUAACAGGAAAAAUCAGGAGCACGUCGUUUAUUUUUAUAUGCAUGAAAAGUCAUCAGUAGUUGGCUGGUUGAAACAUGAAUAGGAUCUGUCCACCGGAGAAUGACUUGAGCAAACUGUCGCUAAUCGUUACUGCCUGUGUGCGAAACGCGUCGUUUUUGCUUCUGAUUCGCGUCUUGUUACCACGUUCAGGUAAUUUACCACAGAAGCUCAUAUCAGGCGCCUUCGUGGGUUCCAUGGAAGAAAUCCAAGGAGUUGUACUAUCCAUGUAAUCGUAUUUAUGGCAAUACGUGAUUACAUUUCUUUUAACCGGAGGCAAGAAAGAUAAAG